UACCACGCCGACAACACCACUCUGAGCAACUGACAACCAAGAAAAAUGUCACGAGUCCACCAAAUGAUCCUAUGUACCAAACAACGGACCAUGGAUCCAGGGUAGUUUGUACUUCAGCAUCUUCUGGACAUACAAACAGAACUUUCAGUGGUAUCCACGUAUUCGCUGUCUUUUGAAACGUCUCCAACCUCAGCAUUGACUUUAAACUCAGAAUCAAACUCAAUGAUGCAUAGGACACCGUCGUUGUUUCUGUCAUCAGCAACCUCAGCACUUAUCUGGUCUACAGGUUUGCUGUUUUCCAAAGGUUCGUUACUCCUGGGUACUCUGUAACCCGUAUCAUCUUGCUCACGUGCUUCGCCAUGAAACAAUAAGGUAUGCAUACCGCGCUUCCUGCUAUGAAUGCGUGAACAACGUACGCAGAAUUUAGAUAGUACCGCGUGGAAUAAAAAGAGGAAAAAAAAAUUUACGAAGUAUAAGAUGGUAUUGCUACUGCGACUGUUUUACCACCAUCAACUAGCAUCCACUGUUUGGGAUCUCCUGGUGUGCGCUUGUUGAGUCGAUUACGUGAAUUAAAAGAACGACUUGAGAUAAGUGCACGAUUUCAGGCUGGUGUAGACCUUACUAACGUUUAUGAAACUUCUGAAGAAUGAAGAUUUAUAUGUAUAUGUAUAUAUAUAUAGAGAGCUCGGGGCACUUUUGCAGAGGUGAGGCUUCUUUGAAACAUUUGGAUCGUUUCCAAAGAACAGUAAAUAAUUUCUCCGAGCGAUAUUAUUUUUGUUUCAAUGUUUUCCAUUUGGCUCUAGACAUUAUUUUGCAGAAACGAUACACGUUUAUUUACAGAAGGCGAGAAAUGUUAACUAUUGAAAUAUUCUAGGCAGUAUUACAACACUGUAUAAUGCUCGAGGUAUGCCAUUGUGCUUAAGCAUUAACUAAAUGCUAUUCUAUUUACGACUCGUAAUAGCUAAGUGAACGUGAUCACAAUUGCGAUCUAUUGUAAAUCCUCAGUAUAAUCCAAACGAUGAUCUGCAAAGCCGCUAGACGUAUAAUUUACAUCAGUGACAAUGAGUUUUUGAACUUAACCUUAAAGAUCAAAAGUGUACUAAUAGAUGUGCCUGAGUUAAUAUGUAUAAUCCAAGAAAAAUUGUGCUUACACACCAGAUAAUUCCUCAGACAUAAGGAGCAAAAUGCUGGGUGAUCAGGUGAAAAAUUUUGUAUAAGUUGAGAAUGAUCGAUUUUUUAAGCGAUGUCAAAAUGAGUAGAAAACUUGAAGUUUUUAUUAUAACCAAAUGAGUAUCCAUUAUUCAAGAAAUAUUUCUUCGCUAAUAGGUAAUUAAAUCAGUCACCAAUGCGAUAAACACGUGACGUAAUUCAUCAGUAAAUACGAACAAUAAUUUGCACCUCUAUUUUAUUUCUUUCUUAACGUGCGCUGUUCUUACCAGCGUGUGAGAUUAUUCAUAUUCAUCGACAUUGUGCAGAUGGACAAAUUUUAUCAUAAUGUGUGUAACGAUUAAUAGUAUAGGCGCACAAGAUAGAUUAUCGAUUAUGAAAUUUAACUGUGACACAUUCACGAUUUAACGAGGUGUCUACUAAUUGAUAUUGUUCCCUGACAAUGAAUACAGUACAGUCUUUGUACCAGUCACUGUAUUAUUCCUUGUGGAAAUUUUCACAAACGAGCAUUUAUAUUUUUCGAUCGAAUUUAGAAUUUAAUCAUACGGAGCAUUCAAAAUGUUCUUGACAUUUGCUCUAUCAAGGAUUCUCGAAUUUAGCAGGAAAAAUUUAUCGUGAUAAUCAAUAAAGAUUAUACUAAAUCC